UACGUAGGGUGCGAGCGUUGUCCGGAAUUACUGGGCGUAAAGAGCUCGUAGGUGGUUUGUCGCGUUGUCCGUGAAAACUCACAACUCAAUUGUGGGCGUGCGGGCGAUACGGGCAGACUGGAGUACUGCAGGGGAGACUGGAAUUCCUGGUGUAGCGGUGGAAUGCGCAGAUAUCAGGAGGAACACCGGUGGCGAAGGCGGGUCUCUGGGCAGUAACUGACGCUGAGGAGCGAAAGCGUGGGGAGCAAAAGGG
rnacentral:rRNA from 1 species